AACGCACCUUGCGCUCCUUGGUAUUCCGAGGAGCAUGCCUGUUUGAGUGUCAUUAAAUUCUCAACCUCACCAACUUUGUUGUGUGAAGGCUUGGAUGUGGGGGUUGCAGGUCCGCACUCGUGUGGUCUGCUCCUCUAAAACGUAUUAGUGGGUUAGUCCCCUAAUCUAUUGGUGUGAUAAUUAUCUACGCCGUGGAUUUGGAAGGCUAUCAUAGACCUGCUUCUAACCGUCCUCUGGACAACCUUGACAAUUUUGACCUCAAAUCAGGUAAGACUACCCGCUGAACUUAA
rnacentral:misc_RNA from 1 species